AUACGGAGGGGGCUAGCGUUGUUCGGAAUUACUGGGCGUAAAGCGCGCGUAGGCGGUUUAUCAAGUCAGGCGUGAAAGCCCUGGGCUCAACCCAGGAACUGCGUUUGAUACUGGUUGACUAGAGGCCGGGAGAGGGUAGUGGAAUUCCCAGUGUAGAGGUGAAAUUCGUAGAUAUUGGGAAGAACACCGGUGGCGAAGGCGGCUACCUGGACCGGACCUGACGCUGAGGUGCGAAAGCGUGGGGAGCAAACAGGAUUAGAUACCCCGGUAGUCC
rnacentral:rRNA from 1 species